ACAAAAAAAAAAAAUCGGUCUGGGUUUGGAUUGAAACAUUUCGGUUUGGUUUGGGUUCUUCCCUAUCUUUUGUUUCCCUCAUCACUCUUCACUGCAAAAGAGAGAAAACCCAAAAACCUCCGCAAAACCUUUCUAUCCAAAAAAAAUGCAGCUCUCGGUUCCAAUCUCACCUUCCAAGCCCUCACCACCAAUCUUCCCUUUCUCCAAUCGACUCGGCCCUCCACCGAUCCACCACCUAUUACACACCCCCCGCGCCAGCUUCGCGACCCCCCUCCGAGUCUCCGGCUACUUCUCCUCCAUCAGCCGAGCAAUCGAGGAAGAAGAAGAGUACCGCAAGGCACGCGCCGCCGUGCACCGCAAAGGCGUCGAAUUGGACGGCUACGCCAUCGAGGGCGUCUCCGUCGGCGGCCACGAGACCUGCGUCAUCGUCCCCGAGCUCAAAUGCGUCUUCGACAUCGGACGGUGCCCUUCACGCGCCAUCCAGCAGAAGUUCCUUUUCAUCACCCACGCGCAUCUCGAUCACAUCGGAGGUUUACCGAUGUAUGUGGCUAGCCGUGGGUUAUACAACCUCGAGCCGCCGAAGAUAUUCGUGCCGCCGUCAAUUAAAGAAGAUGUUGAGAAGCUUCUUGAGAUUCACAGGAGUAUGGGUCAAGUCGAGCUCAACGUUGAACUCAUUCCACUCAGCGUUGGUGAGACAUAUGAGUUGCGCAAUGACAUUGUCGUUAGACCAUUUGCUACCAACCACGUCAUACCCAGUCAGGGAUAUGUGAUCUACUCGGUGAGGAACAAGUUGAAGAAGCAGUAUGGUCACCUUAAAGGCAAACAGAUCGAAAAGAUUAAAAAAACUGGCGUUGAGAUUACAGAUAUGAUAUUGUCCCCUGAGAUAGCUUUCACUGGAGAUACAACUGCAGAGUAUAUGCUUGACCCUCGUAACGCUGAUGCUUUGAGAGCUAAAAUUCUUAUAACCGAGGCUACCUUCUUGGAUGAAAGUUUUAGCAAUGAGCAUGCGCAGUCACUUGGUCACACUCAUAUAUCUCAGAUCAUUGAGAAUGCAAAGUGGAUUCGGAGCAAAACUGUGUUGUUAACGCAUUUCUCAUCACGUUACAAUAUAGAGGAAAUUCGUGAAGCUGUGCUCAAGUUGCAAUCAAAAGUGUCCGCAAAAGUUAUUCCUCUUACAGAAGGAUUUAAGUCAAGAUAUUCUUGAGAGAGUGCAAACAAUAAUAGUGUGAUUUGAAACCAUCUUUAUCAACGAAUGUAAGAUUGGUACAAAACUUUUGCCAUGCUGACUUUAGAUUGAGGCAAAGAGCAAAGAUGCAUUUGUUCCACCAAAGCCAAAAGAGUUUGACAUCGCAGUCUUAACUAGCA